rnacentral:rRNA from 1 species
UUUUAAAGAUUCUGGGCCCUUACCUGCCCAUUCUAUUCAGCUGUGCGCUUCGGCUGCACGCUGGAUGCAACACCUCACACCUGUGCACCAUUUCGGUUGCGGCUUUGGCCGCUGCCGCUUCAAAUGCAACCACUCAGUCUCGAAUGUCAACAAAACUAUAAAAAGUAACAACUUUCAACAACGGAUCUCUUGGCUCUCGCAUCGAUGAAGAACGCAGCGAAAUGCGAUAAGUAAUGUGAAUUGCAGAAUUCAGUGAAUCAUCGAAUCUUUUGAACGCAUCUUGCGCUCCUUGGUAUUCCAUGGAGCAUGCCUGUUUGAGUGUCACGUAAACCCCUCACCCUUGCGAUGUAACAGUUGCACUGCGGUGGACUUGGACUGUGCCGUAACCGGCUCGUCUUGAAAUGCAUUAGCUGGCGCUUUUAGAGUGCUGGGCGACGGUGUGAUAAUUAUCUGCGCCAAUGCCCUGGGCCUCUUCAGCGGUGCUGCUUACAGUCGUCCCUCUGCGGACAACUAAUAUCUAAA